AACGCACAUUGCGCCCCAUGGUAUUCCGUAGGGCAUGUCUGUUUGAGCGUCAUUACAACACCUCGUUAACAAUUAGUUUUGUGCAACGGUUUUGAGCUCGGUCACCUAACGGUUUCCGGCUUUAAAGUUGAACGCUCUGCGGGUCACACUGCCAAACUUUACAUAGUAAAACUAUUCUGUAACGGUUAGAAAGUGAAGACUUCCGCCUGAAAAAUAACCUCUCUCUUAAGGUUUGACCUCAGAUCAGACAAGGAUACCCGCUGAACUUAA
rnacentral:misc_RNA from 1 species